rnacentral:rRNA from 1 species
GAUGAACGCUGGCGGCGUGCCUAAUACAUGCAAGUCGAGCGAACAGAUGAGGAGCUUGCUCCUCUGACGUUAGCGGCGGACGGGUGAGUAACACGUGGAUAACCUACCUAUAAGACUGGGAUAACUUCGGGAAACCGGAGCUAAUACCGGAUAAUAUAUUGAACCGCAUGGUUCAAUAGUGAAAGACGGUUUUGCUGUCACUUAUAGAUGGAUCCGCGCCGCAUUAGCUAGUUGGUAAGGUAGCGGCUUACCAAGGCAACGAUGCGUAGCCGACCUGAGAGGGGGAGCAGCCACACUGGAACGGAUACGAGACCCGGACUAAACGGGGAGGCGCCGCUGGAGUAACGUACGGAAGGGACGGAGUGAGAACGGAACACAGCCAAGUGGCGGACAAAAAUCUUGGGAUCGUAGAACUCAGUUACUAGGAGAGGACAAAUAUGUAAGUAACGAGGCACUUCUUGACGGUACCUAAUGAAAAAGCCACGGCUAAUUACGUG